UGGGGAAUUUUGGACAAUGGGCGAAAGCCUGAUCCAGCAAUGCCGCGUGUGUGAAGAAGGCCUUCGGGUUGUAAAGCACUUUUGUCCGGAAAGAAAUCCUUGGCUCUAAUACAGUCGGGGGAUGACGGUACCGGAAGAAUAAGCACCGGCUAACUACGUGCCAGCAGCCGCGGUAAUACGUAGGGUGCAAGCGUUAAUCGGAAUUACUGGGCGUAAAGCGUGCGCAGGCGGUUUGCUAAGACCGAUGUGAAAUCCCCGGGCUCAACCUGGGAACUGCAUUGGUGACUGGCAGGCUAGAGUAUGGCAGAGGGGGGUAGAAUUCCACGUGUAGCAGUGAAAUGCGUAGAGAUGUGGAGGAAUACCGAUGGCGAAGGCAGCCCCCUGGGCCAAUACUGACGCUCAUGCACGAAAGCGUGGGGAGCAAACAGGAUUAGAUACCCUGGUAGUCCCACGCCCCUAAAACGAUGUCAACUAGUUGUUGGGGAUUCAUUUUCCUUAGUAACGUAGCUAACGCGUGAAGUUGACCGCCUGGGGAGUACGGUCGCAAGAUUAAAACUCAAAGGAAUUGACGGGGUCAUAGCUGUUU
rnacentral:rRNA from 1 species